GAGAAAUGAGGAUAACUUAAAUGGUCAGAAAAUAUAUGAUUGACUACUAAAGAUCCAACUCUGAUCUCACUCAGUAA